rnacentral:misc_RNA from 1 species
GUUUUCGUUUGGAACUGAUUGGGAGCUUUAUCCUCUGCAUGUCUUCUAUGUUCUUGAUUGUGUUACCUAGCAGCAUUAUAAGGCCAGAAAAUGUUGGUUUAUCUCUCUCCUAUGGGUUGUCCCUCAAUGGUGUGCUGUUCUGGGCCAUAUAUAUGAGUUGCUUUGUGGAAAAUAGAAUGGUUUCUGUUGAGAGAAUUAAGCAAUUCACAAAUAUUCCAUCCGAAGCAGCAUGGGAGAUAACAGACCGGGUUCCUCCUCUAAGCUGGCCUGCCCAUGGCAAUGUUGAUCUCAAAGACUUGCAGGUUAAAUAUCGUCCAAACACUCCUCUGGUUCUCAAAGGUAUUACUCUCAGCAUUUUUGGAGGAGAGAAGAUUGGCGUUGUGGGACGUACAGGGAGUGGAAAGUCAACUUUGAUCCAAGUUUUCUUUAGGCUGGUGGAACCAACAGGAGGGAAAAUAAUCAUCGAUGGCAUAGACAUUAGCAGGCUAG